rnacentral:rRNA from 1 species
AUUGAACGCUGGCGGCAGGCCUAACACAUGCAAGUCGAGCGGAUGAAGGGAGCUUGCUCCCUGAUUCAGCGGCGGACGGGUGAGUAAUGCCUAGGAAUCUGCCUGGUAGUGGGGGACAACGUUUCGAAAGGAACGCUAAUACCGCAUACGUCCUACGGGAGAAAGCAGGGGACCUUCGGGCCUCGCGCUAUCAGAUGAGCCUAGGUCGGAUUAGCUAGUUGGUGAGGCAAUGGCUCACCAAGGCGACGAUCCGUAACUGGUCUGAGAGGAUGAUCAGUCACACUGGAACUGAGACACGGUCCAGACUCCUACGGGAGGCAGCAGUGGGGAAUAUUGGACAAUGGGCGAAAGCCUGAUCCAGCCAUGCCGCGUGUGUGAAGAAGGUCUUCGGAUUGUAAAGCACUUUAAGUUGGGAGGAAGGGUUGCUGAUUAAUACUCUGCAAUUUUGACGUUACCGACAGAAUAAGCACCGGCUAACUCUGUGCCAGCCGCCGCUGUAAUAC